CUACGGGGCGCAGCAGUGGGGAAUAUUGCACAAUGGAGGAAACUCUGAUGCAGCAACGCCGCGUGGAGGAUGACACUUUUCGGGGCGUAAACUCCUUUUAUAUAGGAAGAAGAUGACGGUACUAUAUGAAUAAGCGCCGGCUAACUCCGUGCCAGCAGCCGCGGUAAUACGGAGGGCGCAAGCGUUACUCGGAAUCACUGGGCGUAAAGAGCGUGUAGGCGGAUUAAAAAGUCAGAAGUGAAAUCCUAUAGCUUAACUAUAGAACUGCUUCUGAAACUCUUAAUCUAGAAUAUGGGAGAGGUAGAUGGAAUUUCUGGUGUAGGGGUAAAAUCCGUAGAGAUCAGAAGGAAUACCGAUUGCGAAGGCGAUCUACUAGAACAUUAUUGACGCUGAGACGCGAAAGCGUGGGGAGCAAACAGGAUUAGAUACCCGUGUAGUC
rnacentral:rRNA from 1 species